rnacentral:rRNA from 1 species
CCUACGGGAGACAGCAGUGAGAAAUAUUGGUCAAUGGACGAGAGUCUGAACCAGCCAAGUAGCGUGAAGGAUGACUGCCCUAUGGGUUGUAAACUUCUUUUAUAUGGGAAUAAAAUGUUCCACGUCCUGGAUUUUGUAUGUACCAUAUGAAUAAGGAUCGGCUAACUCCGUGCCAGCAGCCGCGGUAAUACGGAGGAUCCGAGCGUUAUCCGGAUUUAUUGGGCUUAAAGGGAGCGUAGGUGGAAUGUUAAGUCAGUUGUGAAAGUUUGCGGCUCAACCGUAAAAUUGCAGUUGAAACUGGCAGUCUUGAGUACAGUAGAGGUGGGCGGAAUUCGUGGUGUAGCGGUGAAAUGCUUAGAUAUCACGAAGAACUCCGAUUGCGAAGGCAGUUCACUGGACUGCAACUGACACUGAGGCUCGAAAGUGUGGGUAUCAAACAGGAUUAGAUACCCGGGUAGUC